rnacentral:rRNA from 1 species
CCCUUAGAUGUCCUGGGCCGCACGCGCGCUACACUGAGUGUCUGAGAUACGAGUCUGCCUGGUCCGGCAAGGUCUAGGUAAUCGCUAAAAGACACAUCAUGCUUGGGAUAGAUUAUUGCAAAUAUUAAUCUUGAACGAGGAAUUCCUAGUAAGCGCAAAUCAACAGCUUGCGUUGAUUACGUCCCUGCCCUUUGUACACACCGCCCGUCGCUACUACUGAUUGGAUGUUUAAGCGAGGUUCUCGAACUGCUAGCGACUUAGCUUCGGUGAGGUCGCAGUGUGGGAAGUGAACCUAGCUUUGGUGUCUAGAGGAAGUAAAAGUCGUAACA